rnacentral:rRNA from 1 species
AUUGAACGCUGGCGGCAGGCCUAACACAUGCAAGUCGAGCGGAUGAAGGGAGCUUGCUCCUGGAUUCAGCGGCGGACGGGUGAGUAAUGCCUAGGAAUCUGCCUGGUAGUGGGGGAUAACGUCCGGAAACGGGCGCUAAUACCGCAUACGUCCUUAGGGAGAAAGUGGGGGAUCUUCGGACCUCACGCUAUCAGAUGAGCCUAGGUCGGAUUAGCUAGUUGGUGGGGUAAAGGCCUACCAAGGCGACGAUCCGUAACUGGUCUGAGAGGAUGAUCAGUCACACUGGAACUGAGACACGGUCCAGACUCCUACGGGAGGCAGCAGUGGGGAAUAUUGGACAAUGGGCGAAAGCCUGAUCCAGCCAUGCCGCGUGUGUGAAGAAGGUCUUCGGAUUGUAAAGCACUUUAAGUUGGGAGGAAGGGCAGUAAGUUAAUACCUUGCUGUUUUGACGUUACCAACAGAAUAAGCAACGGCUAACUUCGUG